ACAGAGAUGGCUAGCGUUGUUCGGAUUCAUUGGGUGUAAAGGGUGCGUAGGCGGCCCAGAAAGUCAGAUGUGAAAGCCCACAGCUCAACUGUGGAAUUGCAUUUGAAACUUCUAGGCUGGAGUGUGGGAGAGGUGAAGGGAAUUCCCGGUGUAAGAGUGAAAUCUGCAGAGAUCGGGAGGAACACCAGUGGCGAGGGCGGUUCAAUGGCUUUCAGAGGACGCUGAGAGCGCGAAGCCAUGGGGAGCAAACGG
rnacentral:rRNA from 1 species